ACCUAAAACCCUAACCUGUCCUA
rnacentral:siRNA from 1 species